CCAAUAGCGUAUAUUAAAGUUGUUGCAGUUAAAAAGCUCGUAGUUGAAUUUCGGGACCAAUCUGCCGGUCGUGCCUCCGGUACGCACUGGUUUUAUUGGUUUCUCCCUUCUGACGAACCAUGAUGUCAUUAAUUUGGUGUCAUGGGGAAUCAGGACUGUUACUUUGAAAAAAUUAGAGUGUUUAUAGCAGGCUCACGCUUGAAUACAUUAGCAUGGAAUAAUGAAAUAGGACGUUUGACCCUAUUUUGUUGGUUUCUAGGAUCGACGUAAUGAUUAAUAGGGAUAGUUGGGGGCAUUAGUAUUCAAUUGUCAGAGGUGAAAUUCUUGGAUUUAUUGAAGACUAACUACUGCGAAAGCAUUUGCCAAGGAUGUUUUCAUUAAUCAAGAACGAAAGUUAGGGGAUCGAAGACGAUCAGAUACCGUCGUAGUCUUAACCAUAAACUAUGCCAACCAGCGAUUAGCCUGAGUUCCUUAAAUGACUCGGCUAGCAGCUUCCA
rnacentral:misc_RNA from 1 species